rnacentral:lncRNA from 1 species
GUUUCCGACAACACCGGAACAGAGAACAACGAUGAUGAUGAUGAUGAUAGACGCCGGAGGUUGUUGACGACGUUGACGAUGAAGGAUUGUGGUUGUAGGCUGAUGAUGAAGUUGUGGUGGAUGUACGGUGAGCCGGAGCGGAGGUGAUGACCGGAGGAGAUCGAAGAUAAGUGAUGGAGAUCGGCAACGAAAAAGAUGAUCGACGAUGGAGGUGGUCGGAGAUGUUGCAGGUUACCGGAGAACAGAGAACGGAGAGGUGGUCGGAGAUUAAUGGUGGCGGAGGUGAGUGAUUAUGGAGGAGACGACAGGUGGAGGUUAUGGAGGUGGGUACGACGGUGAUGAGGAUGGUGUUCGGAGAAGAAGAAUAGUUGACGGAGAAGGUGACCGGCGAAAAUGGUCGAUGACGGUGGAGAUUAAUGACUAUUGAUGUCGGAUGGAAGAAAGUUAUUUCGGAUAAGAAGGUUAAGUAUCACGGAUGAAUAAUGAAGAUCUCAGAUUGAAGCCUGAUGAUUCCGGAUGAAAUUGUUGCGUUUCGGAUUGAAUGAAGAUGAGUUGAGAGGAUGAUCACGGAUUGAUUACGAAUGAACGUGAUGUAUUGCGGAUGAGGAGAACGUGUUUCGGAUGAUUACGGAUGUACGACGAUGACUAUUGAUGAUGUAUGAUGAUUGAAUGAUGUUAUCGGCUGUUGUUGAUAAUAUGAAAAGAUGAUGAUGAUGAUGCUAAUCACGGAUGGUACCGGAUGAUUUCGGAUGGUAUCUCUCGCAUGAAGAAAUGUUAUGAACUGAUGAUGAUGUUUGAUGAUAUGACGUUGGCAGAUGAAUUGAUGAUGUCUUCUGAUGUACGAUGAUGUCAAAUAGUA